CAGCGGCGGACGGGUGAGUAAUGCCUGGGAAAUUGCCCUGAUGUGGGGGAUAACUAUUGGAAACGAUAGCUAAUACCGCAUAAUGUCUACGGACCAAAGAGGGGGACCUUCGGGCCUCUCGCUUCAGGAUAUGCCCAGGUGGGAUUAGCUAGUUGGUGAGGUAAUGGCUCACCAAGGCGACGAUCCCUAGCUGGUCUGAGAGGAUGAUCAGCCACACUGGAACUGAGACACGGUCCAGACUCCUACGGGAGGCAGCAGUGGGGAAUAUUGCACAAUGGGCGCAAGCCUGAUGCAGCCAUGCCGCGUGUAUGAAGAAGGCCUUCGGGUUGUAAAGUACUUUCAGUCGUGAGGAAGGCAAUAAGUUAAUAGCUGUUCGUUUGACGUUAGCGACAGAAGAAGCACCGGCUAACUCCGUGCCAGCAGCCGCGGUAAUACGGAGGGUGCGAGCGUUAAUCGGAAUUACUGGGCGUAAAGCGCAUGC
rnacentral:rRNA from 1 species